UACAGAGGGUGCAAGCGUUGUUCGGAAUUAUUGGGCGUAAAGCGCGUGUAGGCGGCUUUGCAAGUCGGGUGUGAAAGCCCUCGGCUCAACCGAGGAAGUGCGCCCGAAACUGCAGAGCUUGAGUACCGGAGAGGGUAGCGGAAUUCCCCAAGUAGAGGUGAAAUUCGUAGAUAUGGGGAGGAACACCCGUGGCGAAGGCGGCUCUCUGGGACGGUACUGACGCUGAGACGCGAAAGCGUGGGGAGCGAACAGG
rnacentral:rRNA from 1 species